rnacentral:rRNA from 1 species
AUUGAACGCUGGCAGCAGGCCUAACACAUGCAAGUCGAACGAGUGGCGGACGGGUGAGUAAUGUCUGGGAAACUGCCUGAUGGAGGGGGAUAACUACUGGAAACGGUAGCUAAUACCGCAUACCAUCGGAUGUGCCCAGAUGGGAUUGGCUAGUAGGUGGGGUAACGGCUCACCUAGGCGACGAUCCCUAGCUGGUCUGAGAGGAUGACCAGCCACACUGGAACUGAGAUACGGUCCAGACUCCUACGGGAUGCAGCAGUGGGGAAUAUUGCACAAUGGGCGAAAGCCUGAUGCAGCCAUGCCGCGUGUAUGAAGAAGGCCUUCGGGUUGUAAAGUACUUGCAGCGAGGAGGCGUUACGCGCAGAAGAAGCACCGGCUAACUCCGUGCCAGCAGCCGCGGUAAUAC